AUACGGAGGGUGCAAACGUUGUUCGGAAUCACUGGGCGUAAAGGGCGCGCAGGCGGUUUGAUUAGUCAGAUGUGAAAGCCCACGGCUUAACCGUGGAAGUGCAUUUGAAACUGUCAGACUUGAGUACCAGAGGGGGUAGUGGAAUUCCCGGUGUAGAGGUGAAAUUCGUAGAUAUCGGGAGGAAUACCGGUGGCGAAGGCGACUACCUGGCUGGAUACUGACGCUGAGGCGCGAAAGCGGGGGGAGCAAACAGGAUUAGAUACCCUGGUAGUCC
rnacentral:rRNA from 1 species